AGACCCGUAGCUCAGUUGGUUAGAGCGCUGCCUUGACAUGGCAGAGGUCAGCAGUUCGAGUCUGCUCGGGUCUACCA
rnacentral:tRNA from 2 species